GUUUAUACAGCAGCCCGCCCUCUUGAUGACCUGCAACUGGUAGCUGCAGAAACUGCUUUUAAAAUAAAAUGCGAUUCACCGGAAAAAAAAAGAGAGAGAGAGAGAAAAGGUUUGCUUCCCUUCCAUUGUGCAGUCGGUGGCAGGGAGGACAGUAGAUUAUGGCUUUUUUAAAUAAAUGCCACCAAACAUCCACCAUGUGGUCGGAUACGUAGGUUCUCUUUGGCUAUACAUAUGUUUUUUGCUCCGUUCAUGUU
rnacentral:lncRNA from 1 species